rnacentral:rRNA from 1 species
ACUUUUGACCUCAAAUCAGGUAGGACUACC